UAUAACUGACAUAACAGCCAUGGUGGUUAUAAAGAGCUUUCCCCACUCUUCCACACUUACAACUGACACGAUGAAGGUCCUAGAGGGAUUUCUUUCUCUCGGUUUGUUGGCUGUUUUUUUGAGCUCCAGUAAUGCAAAGCCACAGAAGUUCAGGAUUCCUGUCCAUCAGAAAUCAGCUUCUGCAAUCUCAUACCUGAAGGUCUGGGAGAAAUUCAAAGGUCAAAGCGAAGCUGAGCGUGAUGAGUUUCUGAGUGGCUCGUUCCCAGUUGAUUUUGAAUGGUCUGUCUCCAGUGAGAGUUUCAAAGUGGAGGGUGGAUGGGCUGAGCACGGGAAGGGUGAGACCAUAUGGGAUCGUUUUAGCCACGAGGGCCAUGUCUUUGAAAACCAGACCACUGAUUUGGCCUGUGAUAGUUAUCAUAAGGUAGAUUAUGAUGCGUAUCUGCUUAGGGGAAUGAUGGCACCUAAUUAUCAGUUCUCAAUUUCCUGGGCUCGCAUUUUCCCCACUGGUCGCAGAGAAAGUUUGGUUGAAGAGGGGGCUGCUUAUUAUGACAAGAUGAUUAACACACUUCUACAAUCCGGCAUCGAGCCUACUGUUACCCUGCAUCAUUGGGACCUUCCCCAAGCUCUGCAGGACUCAGGAGGCUGGGUUAAUGACUCUAUUGUGGAAGCUUUCAAAGAAUUUUCUGACUUUUGCUUCUCUCGUUAUGGAGACAGAGUCAAAACAUGGAUCACUUUCGGCAGCCCCUGGGUAGUGAGCAACUUGGGGUAUGGAACAGGGGAACAUCCCCCACGUAUGAAUGACCCAAUAAUAGCCUCUUACAAGGUGACGCACAAUGUUCUGAAAUCUCAUGCUGAAGCCUGGCAUAUUUAUAAUGACAAUUACAGGACGCUGUACAGUGGAAAAGUGGGCAUUGCUCUUAACUCCGAUUGGGCAGAGCCAAGGAAUCCCGCAAGUGAUCAGGACGUUGCAGCAGCAGAGCGUUAUUUGAACUUCAAGCUGGGCUGGUUUGCUCACCCUAUAUUUGUAGAUGGUGACUAUCCAGCCGUGCUGAAGAAUCAAAUAGAGCUAAAGAAAGCUGAGUGUGGUGUAGAGCUGGCAAGACUCCCCGUCUUCACUGAGGCAGAGAAACAAAGAAUCCGAGGCACAGCUGAUUUCUUCGGACUGAAUCACUACACUUCCCGACUCAUUGGCGAGAGCUUGGGUAGAUGUGACGCUGGACCCAACAAUGUUGGGGACUUCGAGGCUUAUUUGGACCCCACAUGGCCAACCACAGCUAGUGACCAGAUCCAGUCUGUUCCAUGGGGGCUUCGGCGGUUAUUGAACUUUAUCUAUUUAGAGUACACAUCCAUCACAAACGUGCCCAUCUAUAUCACAGGAAACGGAAUGCCAACUGAGAACUAUGGUGAUCUGCUCAAUGACAAUGAGCGUGUCGACUAUCUCAAAGCUUACAUUAAUGAAGCAAUGAAAGCUGUGCAUUUGGAUGGUAUUGUCAUCCAAAGGUUUACAGCCCAGUCUCUGAUGGAUGGUUUUGAGGGUCCUCAAGGCUACAGUCAACGAUUUGGAUUGCACUAUGUAAACUUUGAUGAUCCUGACAGGCCAAGAAUCCCCAAAGCAUCGGGAUAUUACUAUUCAAAGGUGAUAGAGCAUAAUGGAUUUGCUGAGACUCCAGCAAGCUCUAAAAUGCAAAUCUCUGGAAAUAAAAUUGAGAGCACAAAACUUCCUAGUCUGCCACCAUCUGAAGUUCCUUCAAAAUCCAAGGUUGUUUUUGAAAAGUUCUCCCCUCAGACCAAGUUUGAGAGACAGCUUUAUCACUAUGGGACAUUUCCAGAGGGAUUCCAAUGGGGUGUCUCUUCUUCAGCAUAUCAGGUAGAAGGUGGCUGGAAUGCAGAUGGAAAAGGACCAAGUGUUUGGGAUACUUUCACUCAAACACCUGGUAUGAUCCCAAACAAUGACAAUGGUAAUAUUGCAUGUGACAGCUACAAUAAAAUAGAUGAGGAUCUGUACAUGUUGAGAGCCCUAAAAUUGCAGACUUAUAGAUUCUCCUUGUCAUGGUCUCGAAUUUUUCCCAGUGGGAAAAAAUCUUCUCUUAACCAGAAGGGUGUGGACUAUUACAACAGGCUCAUUGAUGGUCUCUUGGCAAACAAUAUCACACCCAUGGUGACUCUCUACCAUUGGGACCUGCCACAGGCUUUACAGAACAUCAACGGUUGGGACAACCCCGAAUUAAUUGGCAUAUUUAAUGAAUAUUGUGACUUCUGUUAUGCAACAUUUGGAGACAGGGUGAAGUUUUGGAUCACAUUUAAUGAGCCCCAGACAAUUGCAUGGUCCGGAUAUGGACUAGGUCAGAUUCCACCUAACGUAAACCAACCUGGAGAUGCUCCAUACAGGGUUGCACACAACCUCCUGAAAGCUCAUGCACAAGCUUAUCACACCUAUGAUGUGAAUUACAGGGCAUCUCAAGGAGGUCUGGUAUCCAUUAGUCUAAAUGCCGAAUGGGCAGAACCCCUGAACGUCAACAUCCCUCGAGAGGUGGUGGCAGCUGAUCGAGCCCUUCAGUUCCAACUAGGCUGGUUUGCACAUCCCAUAUUUAAAAAUGGUGACUACCCUGAUGCCAUGAAGUGGCAGGUUGGCAACAAGAGUGAACUUCAAGGCUUGACAGAAUCCCGCCUGCCUUCUUUUACUGACGAAGACAAAGCCUUUAUCCAAGGAACGGCUGAUGUAUUCUGCAUUAACACAUACACAACCAAAGUCGCGCGCCAUGUGACCAGCACACUUGACGUUGAGUCUUAUCAGACUGACCAGGAUGUUGAGAAGGACUUUCCUGAGGGCUCUGAAAAUACCGCUGUUAGUCACCAGAAGACUGUUUCUUGGGGACUCAGAAGACUUCUUAACUGGUUAAAGGAAGAGUAUGGAGACCCUGAGAUUUACAUAACAGAAAAUGGUGUGGCUACAGUCCCUGCCAUGACGGUUGAUGACACCGAUCGAGUAUUCUUUCUUAAGACUUAUGUUGAUGAGGCUCUUAAAGCACACAACCUGGAUGGAGUUCGUCUUAAGGGUUAUAUUGUUAGCUCUCUGAUGGACUCAUUUGAGUGGCUAAAUGGUUACUAUCCUAGCUAUGGACUUCACCAUGUGAACUUUUUCCUUUCAAAUCGGGCAAGAACUCCAAAGCGCUCAGCUCACCUCCUUUAUGAUAUAAUAAGAAAUAAUGGCUUUCCACUGCCAGAGGAGGAAGAAAUGUUAUAUGGACAUUUUCCAGAGGAAUUUAUGUGGAGCACAGCAACAGCUGCAUAUCAGAUAGAGGGAGCCUGGAGAACAGAUGGAAAAGGUCUCAGUAUUUGGGACAAAUAUGCGCACACUCCUUCAAAAAUAGCUAAAGACGACAAUGGUGACAUUGCCUGUGACAGCUACAACAGAAUCGCUGAUGAUGUCGAUAAUGUCAAAAAACUGAGGGUCGGCCACUACCGGAUGUCUGUUGCAUGGGCCAGAAUUAUGCCAGAUGGAACAAACAGGAAAAUUAAUGAAGCUGGACUCAACUACUAUAAUAGGCUUGUAGAUGCACUUUUGGCAGCUAACAUCCAGCCACAGGUGACCUUGUAUCACUGGGAUCUCCCACAAGCACUCCAGGAUGUUGGUGGCUGGGAGAAUGAAACGGUUGUCGAUAGGUUCAGAGAGUAUGCUGAUGUUGUGUUCAACAGUCUGGGGGACAGAGUGAAGUUCUGGAUCACUUUAAAUGAACCCCUGAAUGUUGCUUUGGCAGGAUAUGGCUAUGGAACUGCAGCACCAGGUAUAAAUUCCAGACCGGCCACUGCACCAUAUGUUGCGGCACACAACCUCAUCAAGGCUCAUGCUGAGGCCUGGCAUCUGUAUAAUGACAAGUAUCGUGCAAAAUAUGGUGGCCUUAUCAGCAUCACUCUAAACUCUGACUGGGCAGAACCAAGAAACCCAUACAAACAGGAAGACGUGGAUUCUGCCGUGCGUUAUCUUCAGUUCAUGCUGGGUUGGUUUGCUCAUCCUGUGUUCAGAGGAGAUUACAGUGCUAUAAUGAAAGACAGAAUUCGAGAGAGAAGUUUGGCGGCUGGCCGACCUCAAUCAAGGCUUCCAGAAUUUACCCCUGCUGAAAUAGCGAGGAUUAAUGGUACUCAUGAUUAUUUUGGAUUCAAUCACUACACCUCUGUCUUAACCCAUUACUUGGACUACAAAGACUUCGAGGACUAUGAUGCAGACAGGGGUGUUGGAGUUGUAUCAGAUCGCACAUGGCUGGAAUCUGGAUCCUUCUGGUUGAAAGUAAAUCCUGCGGGAUUCCGAAAAGUUCUGAAGUUCAUCAAAGAUGAAUAUGGAGACCCUGCUGUUUACAUAACAGAGAAUGGCGUAUCAGAACGAGGACCAAUAGAUCUGAAUGAUGUCCCCCGUAUCCACUACUAUAAUACCUAUAUCAAUCAGGCCCUGAAAGCGCGUUUGCUGGAUGGUGUGGACGUCCGUGGCUACACUGCCUGGUCACUAAUGGACAAUGUGGAAUGGGGGGCAGGUUUUGAAGAAAGAUUUGGCUUUUUCUAUGUAAAUCGAUCAGAUCCCAGUUUACCACGUAUUCCUAAGGAAUCUGUCUUUAGCUAUGCUAAAAUAGUUCAAUGCAAUGGCUUCAUUAGCCCAGGAGAAAGUCCCCAUCAAUGUCAGAUCCUUGAACCUUAAGGUACAAUAAAUCUAUAUGUCUUCUAUCUCUCUGACUGCUUGUCUGUCUAUAAAUAACUGAGACAUUAACCUGGAUAAAACUGACAAUUUCUGAACAUAAUGUGCUUAACAUGUCUUAUAUAUAAUUACUUCAAUUUCAAGUUGUGUAAAUAUAAUGAAGUAAAAAGAUUAUGUAAUUCAUAAAGCUGAAAAAAAUAAAACAAGAAAUAAGAUUCAUGCUUUGGUAAACAGAAUUAAUAAUUAAAGACAUGUUUGUAUGUAUGUUGUAAUGGGAUUUUUCAUGAAGUUAUGUACAGUAAUAGUAACUGUAUUUUUUAUUGUUUAAUUGUAUUAAUAAAAAUAAGAGAACUACU